rnacentral:lncRNA from 1 species
AAAUCCUUCAGGCCCAUGGUUGGGACCUUGAACUCGCCAUCUCUUCCUUCACCUCUUCCACUCAACCCUCCGCUUCUUCCACUGUCUCUGAUUCCGACCCUCCCGAUUCACGGGCCCGGACUGAUUCCGCCUCGGCCUCGGCCUCGGCCUCGGCCUCUGCCUCCGCCUCCGCCUCCGCCUCCGCCUCCGCCUCCGGUCCUAUUACCGCUCCCGCACCGGGCUUAGCCUGGAGACUCGUUACAUUACCGAUUUCCGUGAUAUCCGGAAGUUUAGGGUUGAUCUCUGGCGCUGUUGGGCUGGGUCUAUGGGCCGCGGG